rnacentral:rRNA from 1 species
AACGAACGCUGGCGGCAGGCUUAACACAUGCAAGUCGAACGGAUCCUUCGGGAUUAGUGGCAGACGGGUGAGUAACGCGUGGGAACGUACCCUUUGCUACGGAAUAACUCAGGGAAACUUGAGCUAAUACCGUAUGUGCCCUACGGGGGAAAGAUUUAUCGGCAAAGGAUCGGCCCGCGUUGGAUUAGCUAGUUGGUGGGGUAAUAGCCUACCAAGGCGACGAUCCAUAGCUGGUCUGAGAGGAUGAUCAGCCACACUGGGACUGAGACACGGCCCAGACUCCUACGGGAGGCAGCAGUGGGGAAUAUUGGACAAUGGGCGCAAGCCUGAUCCAGCCAUGCCGCGUGAGUGAUGAAGGUCUUAGGAUUGUAAAGCUCUUUCACCGGUGAAGAUAAUGACGGUAGCCGGAGAAGAAGCCCCGGCUAACUUCGUG